UCUUAUGCAUAACAAGGGAGGUAAACUUCUGAUUCCCAUGCCCACUAUGCAAAUUCAACUGUUAAAGUCCAUCUCGAAGCAGUAACAUUUUACAAACAGGAGGUUUGAAAAUUGAAAUUACAAGGGUCACACCAACGAUAAGGAUUUCCAGACUCAUGCAAGCAACUCUUGAUGAGAUGAGUCUUUGCAUGAACACCCCGGCAAGUUCAUGAUGACACCGCUUUUUCUCUACUUGUAUGUUCGGAGUCCUCAACUGAGGUUCUUGGUGUGAUCUCGUGAGGAAUAUGAACCACAUCAACUGAAUUGGAUAAUUUGUCUCCAAUAAUUUAGCACCUCAUCCCAGGAGCAAUGUGCUCAUCUAACCUCUGUAAAGAAUAUUUUAGAAAACUAUGUUUUAGUUACCUGAUUUCAGAGAAGGAACUCUCCAGUUGCGGGGUUUGUAUAAGGCACUAAGUCACCGGUAAUCUACCAGACUAAUUUCAAUCUCUGUUUUGAUAAUGUGAAUUGUUCUUUAACAAUUAA